CUGCAGGCUCCAGCCCUCCUUGCCUUUCAGUACCAGGAGUGGCCAUGGCAUCCUGCCUCGGCCCCCGGAACCACACAGUCCCACUGGUUUCCUUCAGCCCUGCCCGUGUCUCUUUCUUAAACUUCCUCCAUUUUUAGUUGCACUGGGCCAUCUGUUUCCUGCCAGUACCCUGCUGAUACAAAACUCCAGAUAAACAGCCUGAAAGAGAAUUUGACAAGGAAAAGUGUGGUCAGCGCAGUGAUACCGCUAUCUCUUCCAAAGGGCCGUUGCACCAACCCUCCUUCAGUUUCUGCAGAUGGUGGUUAACCCUGAUAGUCAACUCAGAUGCCUCUGAUUGAUUAGAAAUAACUAGAUGGUUUUUCAAUUGCUUCGCAUGGUAUGUUAAAGAGUUGUGUGGAACAGAAAAAGCUAAGCUUCAGAAGAAGAAGCGAUCAGGCCUGGGACACUCUUGUUCUAAAAAUGCAAUGGGGAUAUCAACUCCCCUGGGAGUGCCGUUCUCAAUAUCAAGGCUACUCAGAAGCCAGGUCCAAGCUUUCAGCUCUACCAGAAGGACUGGAAUAUGUGGAAAUUCAGGGCCCACCUUCCCAUUUGGCCUUGGACUGGGGAGCAGCUGGACUUGGAAGGAGAACUUGCUCUUCAGAGCUGGACAGUCUCCCUGACCAGAUGAGGAAACUGAGGCACAGAAAAGGAUGAGGAUGAGCCAGAAUUCAAAGCCAGGCAGUCUGAUUCCGAGCCUAUCCACUCAACCACCUCGCACAGCUCCCUCUAAUGCAAAGACCCCUCACAAGGGUCAGGGGUUUUACUAACAUAGCCAGAAGUCUCGCAUCAAACUGGGGGCCUCACACACAAUCUAGCCGCGCAUUAGAACCAGCUGAGAAGGCUGUAAACCACACCUAGGCCUGGAGCAAAUACCAUAAUGAUUUAUCAUCUGGGGACUCGAAUGAAGAGUGAUGGGGAAGCCCUGCACUCUCCUUGUACUGUUUUUGUACCUCUGAAGUUUCAUCAAAAUUUUUUUUUAAAAAGUGAAAGUAACUAAAGAACGUAGUAGGACAAUAUUAGCUGACCUGGAGGGAUUUCUCCAGGAAUUGUUGAUAGCAAG